AACGAACGCUGGCGGCAUGCUUAACACAUGCAAGUCGAACGAGACCUUCGGGUCUAUUGGCGCACGGGUGCGUAACGCGUGGGAACUUGCCCUUAGGUUCGGAAUAAUUCCCCGAAAGGGGUGCUAAUGCCUUAUGAUGUUUUCGGACCAAAGAUUUAUCGCCUUUGUUUGUGCCCUGGUUGAAUUAGCUAGUUGGUAGGGUAAAAGCCUACCAAGGCUACGAUCCCUAGAUGGUCUGAGAGGAUGAUCAGCCACACCUGGACUGAGACACGGCACAGACUCUUACGGGAGGGAGGAGUGGAUAAAGGAGGAGAAGGGCGGCAAGCAUGAACAAGCACUGCUGGGAGAGUGAUGAUGUGCUUAAAGUAAUAAUGCUCAUUUAACCGUGCAGAUAGUGACAGUACCGGGAGAAUAAGCAACGGCUAACUACGUG
rnacentral:rRNA from 1 species